ACAGAGUGGAUAGAGGGGGGAUGGCAGGGGCUGAAGGACCCGCAGAGCAGCCUGUCGCCUGCACACUUACACAUACUCGUGGGCACGCACACACCCUCAGCCUCAGCACACUUACACAGCAACACGCCGGGCUUUACACGCCUCCGCACGCGUCACACGAAAGCACGAAACCAAUUUAAGCACCCACAUUCUCUCACCCAAUUAGUCGCACACAGUUCACCCACUCCCACACCCACCCACACCACAUCCAUAUCCUUGUCCACAUCAUGGCAUGACCUCCUCCCACUCGCUCGUCCCGCCCACGCACACUCUGUCGAGCUGGUUGUCGUCCUCGUCCUCGUCCUCGUCCUCGU
ensembl:ncRNA lncRNA:CR45292 long non-coding RNA:CR45292